GUCUUAUCCAAUUCUGCUUUCUCAAUCUUAUUCAGGAUGAACUUGAUGAAGUUGUGAACACAUGGAACUCGCACAAAAUCCGGCCAAGUGGUAGUGCAGCAUCGGGUCGACCAGUAGUAAUGUACUCAUUUCCAGAGCUGCACAGUGCUGAGGAUAGACUGAAGCCUAUUUCUAUGGAGGAUAUCACUUUGUGUAUGGAAGAGUGUAGCCCAAAAGGUCAACACCCCUGUGAUGAAACAGUCUUUGAACUGUGUUGUCUGCUUAUGGUAGAAAAUGAAUGGGAUGCCCCAGGAGAUCCACUUGGUGCUGCGGAUCUGUACAUUAGGUUAAGAGAAGAAAUACUGCAAAGUAUUUAAGGAACUUCAGUGUGUAAAUGUACAAAUAAAUACAAAAUAUUUCUCUUUAUCUUGAUAACGUGAUUUGAUAGUAGGUGCCAUGUCUUACAGGUACCUUUUAUGCAGGUAUUUCUGCACUGCAUUAAAUGAAAAAUGUUUUUCUACAUUCACACUACCAUUAAACAGAAAUGUUUAUAUAUUACUUGAAAAAGCUGAAUAUUGUGAUAUUAUCAAUCAGUUAUGAAACACAUGUCAAUCCUUUUAAAAGGCCAUACAUUAAACUGCAUUUACAAAUGUUAUAUUUUUGAUUGAAUCAUAAGUGGUGUAAACCUGCCUACCAGUAAAUUGCAAUAUAAAUUUCUGUGUUUUGUUGCCAGACAUGUGCAUAGUAUAUAAAAUAUAAACUGACCAGCUCCCUGCUCAUUGUUUUCUGUAUCAACCUUUACUCUUAAUAUUCAUGGCUGGAAACCCAGGCACCAGCAUAUGAUAUGCUAAGUGCAUAUCAUAUGUGGUUAUCUGUGGUAUGUUUCAGCAAACCAUAGUAGCAUUAACAAUUCUAGGUCUUGACAACAGCAUGUUUCUAUAAACGUAUCAUUGUUAAUAUUUAAAGUCGUUAUGCCUUUUGGGGAGCUUUUAGUGCAAUUAUAUUAAAGCAAAGCUAUAAUAAUCAUUUACCCAUAUGAAGAUCCAUCACUUAAUUAUUAAUGUAUUUCACUUCUGUUAGUUGUAAGAUAUUUUAGCUGGUUUUUCAUGUAAAAUGACCACGAAUCAUUGCUAUACUGAUUCAGUGUUAGCUGUUGUAUACAAGGCUCCUUCAUGAUAUGAAUCCUAAAAUUAUAAGAAACAUACCAAAAAUAUUUUGACUUUUAUUUGUAGUAUCCCAGCAACAAUGCAACAAAACAGUUCCUGCAAGUGGAACCAAGUUAUUGUCCCAUUAAGUGCAACAUGUUUUACAUUUAUAUUUGUGUAUCUUUAUGAAAUAUUUGAAAUUAAAAAUAAAUGGUAUUCUUCCAUGUUACUGA